CCGGAAGCGGCACUUGUUCUCUGGCGGACGGAGAGGCAGCUGCGUAUCCUUACGCAGAAUCAUGGAAAGCAUUUGUUACAUGGGGCUGUUGCGGUGGAGAAUGGCCUUCAGGGACACUGUAGAAAAGUCGCUCUGAGGAUUGUGAGACGCUGCAGGACUUGACGAUGGCCGGGCGUGUGAACACAGCCGUGCCGGGAGCGUGUGGACUGGAGGGAGCUGUGUGGAAACCUCUUGACCUUCUGCUCUUUGGCUGAACCUGUAUGGAGUCUGGAAACCAAAAGCACUAGAAGCUGCAGUUUGUUGAAGGGUGGAUCUGCAGAAGCGUCCUGCUCUCUGGUCUUUCAUCAUGUCUGCCCUGAGAGAAAGUCUGAAGCUUCUCCUCCCCAAUGAGCUGUGGCCUCUGAAAAUGGGUGGAGCUGAACAAGAGGGUCCUGGCUCCCGGGUUUCAUCUUUUCCUCUGCGUGUGUCCUGAUUUUUAAGAAGGCAACAGAAGAUUUGACCUGUGAAGAUGAUCAUGGCCUUUCAAGGUGGUUUACCAGACGAAGGACCAAAUUUGGAUCGGCUCACUUGACUUCAGUGCAAGACGUGGGCUUUUGUCCAGUCAGCUCUUGAUCAUUGAGGCAUUCAAAGGCUGAAUGUGUGUAACUAGUAUGUAUUAGCGAUAAUGCUGGCUUCAGUAUUAACUGCUUUGUCAAGUUGUAUCCCAUGAGUAGUUGACUUAAUUUUUCUUGUUUUUUUUUUUUUUUUUAAAAAGGUAAAUUGUUUGUCCUUAAAUAGCUUCACACAUUAAGAGCUGAAUCAGAACCAGUUGAAUGACUGGUGUAGUUGGUCUGAUUUUAAUUGUAAUUGUUCCCUGACAUGAAGAAAUGUAAUCACUGCAAUAUUGUCUCAUGAAUCCAAAUAAAAUGUAAAAACAAUGA